rnacentral:rRNA from 1 species
GACGUAGGGCGCGAGCGUUGUCCGGAAUUAUUGGGCGUAAAGAGCUCGUAGGCGGUGUGUCGCGUCGGUCGUGAAAACUUGGGGCUUAACUCUGAGCUUGCGGUCGAUACGGGCAUCACUGGAGUUCGGCAGGGGAGACUGGAAUUCCUGGUGUAGCGGUGAAAUGCGCAGAUAUCAGGAGGAACACCGGUGGCGAAGGCGGGUCUCUGGGCCGAUACUGACGC